rnacentral:rRNA from 1 species
AUGCAGCACGCCGCGUGAGGGAUGACGGCCUUCGGGUUGUAAACCUCUUUUAGCAGGGAAGAAGCGAGAGUGACGGUACCUGCAGAAAAAGCACCGGCUAACUACGUGCCAGCAGCCGCGGUAAUACGUAGGGUGCAAGCGUUAUCCGGAAUUAUUGGGCGUAAAGAGCUCGUAGGCGGUUUGUCGCGUCUGCCGUGAAAUCCUCAGGCUCAACCUGAGGCUUGCGGUGGGUACGGGCAGACUUGAGUGCGGUAGGGGAGAUUGGAAUUCCUGGUGUAGCGGUGGAAUGCGCAGAUAUCAGGAGGAACACCGAUGGCGAAGGCAGAUCUCUGGGCCGUAACUGACGCUGAGGAGCGAAAGGGUGGGGAGCAAACA